CUGAGGACAGGGUUCCUUAAAGGUUAACUGUAUGUUUGUCUCAUCAGGUUAUUCGGUUUGAUGGAGGGGAAUAUGUGUCGAUGGCUGGAGAGUUUAAUGAGCUGAAGAAGGUGACUCCUGAUCAGUGGGACGUGAUGGAGGCGAUGAUCAGAAGCACUAAAGGAUCCUAAAAAUCUUCUGAUGACCGAAGAACCAUCAGAUCGCAGUGUGCAGUGCGCGCGCCUGCUGAUGUCAUAUUGAUUGAUUUUUGACUUAGAGCAACAUAUCUCAAUACUAUUAGCCUAUUAGAAUGUAGUUGUGGCACUGUCAUGUGACCUACUGCACAUGCUCAGUGUGAACUCAAACACUUUUUUGUCAUUUUGAUAAUAAAAGUUUAACCCAAACACUGAA